rnacentral:rRNA from 1 species
UCUCCUGGAAACGGGUGGUAAUGCCGGAUGCUCCAGUUGAUCGCAUGGUCUUCUGGGAAAGCUUUCGCGGUAUGGGAUGGGGUCGCGUCCUAUCAGCUUGACGGCGGGGUAACGGCCCACCGUGGCUUCGACGGGUAGCCGGCCUGAGAGGGCGACCGGCCACAUUGGGACUGAGAUACGGCCCAGACUCCUACGGGAGGCAGCAGUGGGGAAUAUUGCACAAUGGGCGCAAGCCUGAUGCAGCGACGCCGCGUGAGGGAUGGAGGCCUUCGGGUUGUAAACCUCUUUUAUCGGGGAGCAAGCGAGAGUGAGUUUACCCGUUGAAUAAGCACCGGCUAACUACGUGCCAGCAGCCGCGGUAAUACGUAGGGUGCAAGCGUUAUCCGGAAUUAUUGGGCGUAAAGGGCUCGUAGGCGGUUCGUCGCGUCCGGUGUGAAAGUCCAUCGCUUAACGGUGGAUUCGCGCCGGGUACGGGCGGGCUUGAGUGCGGUAGGGGAGACUGGAAUUCCCGGUGUAACGGUGGAAUGUGUAGAUAUCGGGAAGAACACCAAA